GCCCAUGUAGCUCAGGAGGCAGAGCGCGUCCUUGGUAAGGACGAGGUCACCGGUUCGAAUCCGGUCGUGGGCUCCA
rnacentral:tRNA from 2 species